rnacentral:rRNA from 1 species
CCCUUAGACGUUCUGGGCCGCACGCGCGCUACACUGACCAGUGCAACAAGCAUCCGUCCUUGGCCGACAGGCUCGGGCAAUCUUUGAACGCUGUUCGUGAUUGGGAUAGACCUUUGCAAUUAUGGGUCUUCAACGAGGAAUUCCUAGUAAACGCAAGUCAUCAGCUUGCAUUGAUUACGUCCCUGCCCUUUGUACACACCGCCCGUCGCACCUACCGAUUGAAUGGUCCGGUGAAAUCUCGGGACGGCGGCUCGGUCGCUUGCGUCCGACUGCUGAAACUUGAUUAAACCAUAUCAUUUAGAGGAAGGUGAAGUCGUAACA